ACCUACGGGAGGCAGCAGUGAGGAAUAUUGGUCAAUGGCCGGAAGGCUGAACCAGCCAAGUCGCGUGAGGGACGACUGCCCUAUGGGUUGUAAACCUCUUUUAUAAGGGAAGAAUAGAUGCUACGUGUAGCAUGAUGCCUGUACCUUAUGAAUAAGCAUCGGCUAACUCCGUGCCAGCAGCCGCGGUAAUACGGAGGAUGCGAGCGUUAUCCGGAUUUAUUGGGUUUAAAGGGUGCGUAGGCGGUUUUUUAAGGUAGUGGUUAAACGUCGGGGCUUCACCUUGAUUUUCCAUUAAUACUGUAAGA
rnacentral:rRNA from 1 species